AUGCGCGGCACGAUGUCCAUGAGCGGAUCCGGUAGCAGGCGGGGCGACCUCUCUGCGGCGACCUCGUCCUCCUCCCCGCAUCUGACAGGGCUAUCAGGCGAGACCACAGAGGAGCGGCAGGCGUCGACCCGCGACACACGCGUAAGGAGAGGCCGCCGGCUAGAGGUGUGUGGUGACGGCGUGCGUGGGGCGGCGGCAGAUAGGAGGAGCGGCGGUGAAGGUGGCGUCGAGGAGGGCCGGCGGUGGGGCGGCGCAGGUCACUGGCUUGAGAGCAUGCUCCGGCGGGCGAUGCACCGGUGCGACGGCGGAUAG
rnacentral:rRNA from 1 species